rnacentral:tRNA from 1 species
CGGGAUUUAGCUCAGUGGUAGAGCGCUUGCCUAGCAAGCACAAGGCCCUGGGUUCAGUCCCCAGCUCCGA